rnacentral:miRNA from 1 species
UUUUAUACAAAAGAUUUGCAGCUUUUGCAAGCUGCUUUUAUAUAAAAGCAGCUUGCAAAAGCUGCAAAUCUCUUGUAUAAAG